rnacentral:rRNA from 1 species
GACGAACGCUGGCGGCGUGCUUAACACAUGCAAGUCGAGCGAGCCCCCUACUUCGGGAGUGUGUCCUAGCGGCGAACGGGUGAGUAACUCGCGGGUAGCUUGCCCUCAUCUCUGAGAUAACUCCGGUAAACAGGGCCUAGCACCUGAUACGUCAUCCACUGACACGUGCGGAGGUGGAGAGUUUGUCGGCUUUGGUUGGGCGCGCGGCCGAUCGGCUAGUGGGUGGGGUAGUGGCAAACGAAGGCGCUGACGGGUAGCCGGCCUGGGAGGGCGACCGGCCACCCGGGGACUGAGAGACGGCCCAGACUGCUACGGGAGGCAGCAGUGGGGAGUAUUGCGGAAUGGGCGCGAGCCUGACGCAGCGACGCCGGGUGCGGGACGAAGGCCUUCGGGUUGUAAACCUCUUUCAGCAGAGACGAAGCGAUAGUGACGGUACCUGCAGAAGAAGCACCGGCCAACUACGUG